UACUCAAGCAGGGUUAGGUUCUUCACAAGGUCACACUGCCACUGAUUCAGCACCAUCGGAUUUUCCAGAAGAUGCACCUUCAAGUUCCGAAUGUGACGCACUGCCAGCUUGUUCAACAGCUUGUUCAGCAGGUGUGGAAACCACCCAUGAAUCGAGCUGCCAGCCAUUUCAAGCUUUGACGGUGCCUGUUGAGUCUCAGCAGAACUUUUGUGCUGCCUGUGGAGGAUUUCUGUCUGCUGAGGGCACAGCUGAUGUCACCGG